GCAUAUCAAUAAGCGGAGGAAAAGAAACUAACAAGGAUUCCCUUAGUAACGGCGAGUGAAGAGGGAAGAGCUCAAAUUUUAAAUCUAUCAUGUUGUACAUGAUCGAGUUGUAAUUUGAAGAAGCGUUUUCUCGUACUUUAUGAUCAGUAUAAGUUCUCUUGGAACAGGACAUCAUAGAGGGUGAUAAUCCCGUCUGUUACUGAUUGUGAGGUUCGUUUAUGAUACGCUUUCAAAGAGUCGAGUUGUUUGGGAUUGCAGCUCCAAAUGGGUGGUAAACAUCACCUAAGGCUAAAUAUUUGCGAGAGACCGAUAGCGAACAAGUACCGUGAGGGAAAGAUGAAAAGAACUUUGAAAAGAGAGUUAAAAAGUAUGUGAAAUUGUUGAAAGGGAAACGAUUGAAGUCAGUCGUGCAGUCAUCAAUUCAGCGGUUAACAUUUUAUGUUUCCGUGUAAUUUGGUGUCUGUUGGUUGGCAUCAAUUUUGAUUGUUAUAAAAAGGUUAAGGGGAUGUGGCUCCUUCGGGAGUGUUAUAACCCUUAGCGUAAUGUGACGAUUAGGAUUGAGGUUUGCAACGAAUACCUUUUAGGGCAGUUUCACCUGGCCUCUCGUGGAAUUAUAGAUAGUUAAGAGCAUGCUCUUACUGUUUAUGAUUCUACGAAAAGGUUGGAGUGUAAAANUAAUNNGUUAAGGAUGUUGACGUA
rnacentral:rRNA from 1 species